AUGGAAGACAAAUACUUAAAUACUGAGGACAUUGAGGAAAUCACAGCAGCACGUCUUUAUCCUCUGAUCAAAUCUUUUUUUGAAAAUUUGACGGCUGUGCAGUGGCAUACCAUUAGAUCAGGAGACUUGGACAUUGCCACUAAGAGUCUUCUAGGAGAGCUCAUUGUAGGGAUAACUGAAAUAGGUGUGAAACACUUUGAAAUGAUGACUCAGAAUGCCAACACUGAAAUAUCAGAAGAUGGUGUUUUGAGCAAAAUGAGUACCAUAGUUCCGCAGGCUUUUGCUGAAGCUUUGGAAACGGUUCCUCAGGCCGACAAGGAAAGUACUGAAAACUUCCAACAUCUGCUUGCUAAGGAGGUUGUGCUAAGUAUUAUAUCUGCACAGUCUUCUGACAGCAAAACAAGUUUUGGAGAACGUGAGCACAUCCUUCCUCCAAAACGGCUGAACAAAAUGAUCCAUUUUGCUGGGAGAAUGAUUAGAGCUUUCAUCUCCAAGAUGAAUUAUUUCAGCACGAGCACUGAUACCAGUAGCUCCAGUAGCUCCAGUGAUUCAGAUGAGGACACUAAAAUGUUAGAUAGUCCAAGUGUUCCAAAAGAAUAUCUGGAUCAAGGAUAUAAAACACCCACGAUAGGCCCCCAGGACAGCUUAGAUAGUGAAUUUCUAGAAACUGUGAAAUUUCACAUCAAAAAUGCUGCUGAUAGUUUUAUGCAAAAUUGGAAAAAAAUUAUGUCUCCUCAUUAUAACAAGGAGCAACCACAAACAACUGAAGAGAUUGAGGAAAUUGCAAGACAGCUCACAUUCUUAGUUGAGGCAAAGAUUCAAUGUUCUCUAGAGCGUGGUGAAGUUACCACUCCCGCAUCAUUUGCAGAGAAAUGUAAGCAGUCGCUACAAAACAACGCAGGUAAGCUCAAAACAUUCUUUACGAAGCAAUUUGCAAAAGCGACAAUUCUUCGCAUUGCCAAAAACACCAGGGCUAAAUUCCAGAGAAAGGAGAAAGUUGAAAGCAGUGAAUCGGUGGAGGAGCUUGUUAAUGAUGUCGACUUGCUGCUUCAGACUGUAAAAGAUCGUAAUUCAAAUGAGUUUGAACUAUUUAAACAAAUUUCGAUCGGCAAAUCUCUGGAGUUCACCCAGGCCCUCACAGACAUGCUAAAUAAAUAUGCUGUAGGGGACAUGGGACCUGAAACUUUACCUGAUUGUUUCAGAACAGCACAUGUAAACCUACAAGUGAAAGUUUUCUUGGCACUCAUGAGAUGGUGGUUAUGCACCCAAGCUGAGAGCCAUAGUCAGAGUGUAAUGCUUGCAAUACUUGGGACUCAAGAACCACAGACAGAAACACAGACACAACCACAGACACAACCACAGACAGAACCACAGACACAACCACAGACAGAAACACAGACACAACCACAGACAGAAACACAGACAGAAACACAGACAGAAACACAGACAGAAACACAGACACAACCACAGACACAACCACAGACAGAAACACAGACAGAAACACAGACACAACCACAGACAGAACCACAGACACAACCACAGACAGAAACACAGACAGAAACACAGACACAACCACAGACAGAAACACAGACAGAAACACAGACAGAAACACAGACACAACCACAGACAGAAACACAGACACAACCACAGACAGAAACACAGACACAACCACAGACAGAAACACAGACACAACCACAGACAAUGGAAAGUAUUCCAGUUGUAACGUCCCAACCAAAACCUGAGCCGUUUGUACUAGAUGAUCCUGUACACAAAGCUUACAUUAAAAUAGUCCUUCAUAAAUUAUUUAACCGCAUAGCUAAAAAAUUAAAGAUGAAGUGCACUUGUGUAGGCACACAGAAGAUCCACACCUGGCUUUUGGAAGAAGUAUGGGGCGAACUCAGGGAUAAAAAACUUACUAUAACUCCACAAAACCUAAAAAAUCUGGAAAAGUACAUUCUUAAAGACUUGCGCAAUUUCUUUGGGAGUGUCGAAACUGUUCAGGUUGCUCUGGAGUUACAGAAAUCCACAGCUGUAAAAAUCAUUACACAAUGCUUGACUGAACAUCUGUCAGACACAAAAAAGAAGCCAAAUGCCAUUGUCAGGUUUUUCACUGCGUUGACCAAAGCCAUCACCAAGCCAUUUAGACGCACAACUUGA
rnacentral:lncRNA from 1 species